rnacentral:rRNA from 1 species
AUUGAACGCCGGCGGCAUGCUUUACACAUGCAAGUCGAACGGUAACAGGCCUUCGGGUGCUGACGAGUGGCGAACGGGUGAGUAAUGCAUCGGAACGUGCCCAGAGGUGGGGGAUAACGCAGCGAAAGCUGUGCUAAUACCGCAUGUGAUCUGAGGAUGAAAGCGGGGGACCAGGCAGCAAUGUUUGGCCUCGCGCCUUUGGAGCGGCCGAUGUCAGAUUAGGUAGUUGGUGGGGUAAAGGCCUACCAAGCCGACGAUCUGUAGCUGGUCUGAGAGGACGACCAGCCACACUGGGACUGAGACACGGCCCAGACUCCUACGGGAGGCAGCAGUGGGGAAUUUUGGACAAUGGGCGCAAGCCUGAUCCAGCAAUGCCGCGUGCGGGAAGAAGGCCUUCGGGUUGUAAACCGCUUUUGUACGGAACGAAAAGGCUCUGGCUAAUACCUGGGGCUGAUGACGGUACCGUAAGAAUAAGCACCGGCUAACUACGUG